rnacentral:sRNA from 1 species
UGUCGAGAAAGCUUCUCCUAUAGUUAAGAGAAAAGAAAAGAAUGAUAUGAAAAAGAGUUUGAAAGAUUCAUGAGUGCAAAGGGUAGAGUUAUGUUCUUGUAUUGGGACUGGAGUUGGGAUUACCAUUAGAGCUUCAUUGUUAUACUCUGGGUAGAUGGGAUCUUAUCUCUGUAUGCAUAACUUGGGACUUACCUUUAGCGUUCUACUAAAGCUCAAUCAUUCUUGAGAGAUCCCCUGUUACUUAAGCCUAUUCUAUAAGGGACCAUCUUUGUCUCUUGACCUUCACCUUAGCCAAAUGAGUUCAUUAAUGAUGCAUUGCUUGAUUCACGUUCCAGAACUAAUGAAUGUUAAAGGGAUUGGUAGAUUUGAAAGCAUGUGUAGGUCGAGUAUAAGAGACGGAUUGAUUGAUAACAAGGCAUGGCUAACGUUUUUGAGUAAAAUUCAAUCAUAUCGCAUCUUAGAACUACCAACUUGGACAUUGAUUUUAUUUGCUCUACCUGAUGCUUUGGUUCUAAGUCCCCGCCUUCGAA